GGAUGCGAUCAUACCAGCACUAAAGCAUCGGAUCCCAUCAGAACUUCGAAGAUAAGCGUGCUUGGGCGAGAGUAGUACUUGGAUGGGUGACCUCCUGGGAAGUCCUCGUGUUGCAUUCC
rnacentral:rRNA from 1 species